rnacentral:rRNA from 1 species
CCUACGUGGUGCAGCAGUGAGGAAUAUUGGUCAAUGGCCGCAAGCCUGAACCAGCCAAGUAGCGUGAAUGAUGACUGCCCUACGGUUUGUAAACUUCUUUUAUAAAGGAAUAAAGUUAUCCACUUCUGCCUUUUUGUAUGUCCUUUAUGAAUAAGGAUCGGCUAACUCCGUGCCAGCAGCCGCGGUAAUACGGAGGAUCCGAGCGUUAUCCGGAUUUAUUGGGUUUAAAGGGAGCGUAGAUGGGUUGUUACGUCAGUUGUGAAAGUUUGCGGCUCAACCGUAAAAUUGCAAUUGAUACUGGCAGACUUGAGUACAGUUGAGGUAGGCGGAAUUCGUGGUGUAGCGGUGAAAUGCUUAGAUAUCACGAAGAACUCCGAUUGCGAAGGCAGCUUACUAAACUGUAACUGACAUUGAUGCUCGAAAGUGUGGGUAUCAAACAGGAUUAGAUACCCAAGUAGUC